AUACGGAGGGAGCAAGCGUUGUUCGGAAUCACUGGGCGUAAAGCGAGUGUAGGUUGUCAGGUAAGUAGGAUGUGAAAGCCCGGGGCUCAACCCCGGCAUUGCAUUCUAAACUGCCUGGCUAGAGUCCCGGAGAGGGAGGUGGAAUUCCGAGUGUAGAGGUGAAAUUCGUAGAUAUUCGGAGGAACACCAGAGGCGAAGGCGACCUCCUGGACGGUGACUGACACUGAGACUCGAAAGCGUGGGGAGCAAACAGGAUUAGAAACCCCAGUAGUCC
rnacentral:rRNA from 1 species